GACGAACGCUGGCGGCGUGCUUAACACAUGCAAGUCGAACGGAAAGGCUCCUGCUUGCAGGGGUACUCGAGUGGCGAACGGGUGAGUAACACGUGGGUGAUCUGCCUUGUACUCUGGGAUAAGCUUGGGAAACUGGGUCUAAUACCGGAUAAUAACUGCCUUUAGUGUGGUGGUUGGAAAGUUUUUUCGGUGCAAGAUGAGCUCGCGGCCUAUCAGCUUGUUGGUGGGGUAAUGGCGUACCAAGGCGUCGACGGGUAGCCGGCCUGAGAGGGUGUACGGCCACAUUGGGACUGGGAUACGGCCCAGACUCCUACGGGAGGCAGCAGGGGGGAAUAUUGCACAAUGGGCGGAAGCCUGAUGCAGCGACGCCGCGUGGGGGAUGACGGCCUUCGGGUUGUAAACUCCUUUCGACAGGGACGAAGCUUUUUGUGACGGUACCUGUAUAAGAAGCACCGGCUAACUACGUG
rnacentral:rRNA from 1 species